rnacentral:rRNA from 1 species
ACGCACGCUGGCGGCGUGCUUAACACAUGCCAGUCGAACGGAAAGGCCCUGCUUUUGUGGGGUGCUCGAGUGGCGAACGGGUGAGUAACACGUGAGUAACCUGCCCUUGACUUUGGGAUAACUUCAGGAAACUGGGGCUAAUACCGGAUAGGAGCUCCUGCUGCAUGGUGGGGGUUGGAAAGUUUCGGCGGUUGGGGAUGGACUCGCGGCUUAUCAGCUUGUUGGUGGGGUAGUGGCUUACCAAGGCUUUGACGGGUAGCCGGCCUGAGAGGGUGACCGGCGACAUUGGGACUGAGAUACGGCCCAGACUCCUACGGGAGGCAGCAGUGGGGAAUAUUGCACAAUGGGCGGAAGCCUGAUGCAGCAACGCCGCGUGCGGGAUGACGGCCUUCGGGUUGUAAACCGCUUUCGCCUGUGACGAAGCGUGAGUGACGGUAAUGGGUAAAGAAGCACCGGCUAACUACGUG